CUCUUAGUGGCGCUGCAUUAUAAUCACAAUGCCAAUCGCGAGACAGCACGGAGAAGUGACGGGACAGAGAAGUACUGCGUGCGGUAUCCGCGCUUCAGAAAAGGUGCCCAUGUGGUGCGUCCCAUCAAAGAGGCAGCCUCAUACGGUUAUGCAACAUCAUUAAUGAAGGCCCUUCGGGAGAGCUACGCCAAUUCACCCGCGGUUCUUCGAGAGGUUGGCGCCAAUCUGUCCUCCGAUGCACCCGCCCCCAUCGCCAAAUCCUUCGAACAGAUUCCUAAGGAGGAGGCCAUCAGCCUCUACCUAGCCCGGCAGUCACGCUUCAAGAAAACCUAAUUUCACAUUAUUUUUUUCCACGGACUAGUCCAAUGAUUUAGUUGUUAUUUGCAUGAAAUUUCUUUGCAUGUAAUUCAAAAUAAUUUGGUAAUCAUUUUACCUGUGCCUUGUCAACCUCUGUGUGCGGUGUUGUCUGGGCUCACUGUGUGUCUGCUUGAUGUGCUUUUGCAUGUAUCACUGCAUGUAUCACUGCAUGAAAUAGUGUGUGUGUGUGUUUGUGAGAGAAAGAGAACCAUCAACUGACCCUCGGGUAUGACUACACUAUUGCAGAAUUAAUUAGAAUUAGAAUUAAACAUUGCGGGUCUAGCCCUU